ACAAAAAAAUCAUGGACAGGCCCGUCGAGCCCAUCCAGGCUGUUGCAGCCGCCGCCAAGGAAACCCUAGCGCCGCCGGUCCAGGGUCGUCGUCCAUUCUUUGUUAUUCAGAUGAGCUUGUCACCUGGCGGCGAAGUCGAAGCACGCGAAGGCGCCAUGCUCAUGCGCGAUCCGCCGCGUGUCCGUCACAACGCCCGUCACAUUGCUGCAGGUCGAGAACGACCCCAGCAUGAGCCGGUUGGCGAACUACGGCGACGCGAGCGCGCGGCGGAGCGCGGCCACGUCCAUGAGCCUGCCUUCGUCGACGCCGAUCUCGACGACCUCGGUGAGGCUCCGGCGCCACGACAGUAGGUUGGAGUGGUGCUCGUAGGGCCCGACGAAGACCACCCACCGCUCCUCAGCGCGGAGCUACGCCGCAACGCGGCCGCGCAACUCGACGGUGGGCACGGCAAUCCCCAUCACCUCCUGCAGCCGCUUGAUGGCCGCCGUGGUGCCAACACCGCAGAAGAGCAGGGCGUCGCCGGGGCUGGGCGCCCAUUCAACGCAUCACGUAGCGCGUCGCCUUGUGCACUAGCCGCGUCGUCUUGCUCCCGACAUGGCUGUCCUUUGUGUGCAUGUUGUCGUAGAAGGCUAGAAGCGGCGGCUGUCUGUGCGGAGGUGGACAGAGGGAGGACUUGGACACUCGACAAGCAAACCCUAGCAUCACGUAUAUAUGACCCUUGCUAUCGGGCCGCGGUGAGCUAUUUGGGCUUAGAAAUUUACUGUGACAGGCAUGAUAGGUUGCCCGCUGCAGUAAAUUGAUUUACCACAGCGGGCAUCUUAAUAUGUCCGCGUGACAGACAUAUUAAGAUGCCUGCUGUGGUAAAUCGAUUUACCGCAGCAGGCAAAUGUGUCUGUCACACGCGGUUAACUAAAAGUGCCCGUUGCGGUAAAUCGCACGAUUUACCGCAGCAGGCAAAAAAACGCACACCACGGAGUGAACAGUAGCAACGUCACGGAAGUUCAUUUCUGUAGUAGUCCCGUUUCAAUUUAAUAAAGCUAAUUAUUAAAUCCCUCUGUCCCACUAUAUUUGUCGUUUCGGUGUUUAAGUGUCUAGAUUCAUAGCAUGUUCCAUGUACCCAGACAUCCAUGUUUAGAAAAUCUUUGUUGUACGUGGUGAAAGCUAAAAUAACACGUAUAAUGGGACAAAAAGGGAGUAACUGUUGGCUGAGUGGAUCAAACAUAACCUUAGUCGGUCUGGGUCUAACUGAUUAUUUCUGGUAAUUGAUGCCGGUCCAUAAGGCCCAGCAUUAUCGAACCCGCACCCACGCCACAGACAAACCUUCGGCCUAAGCUAAUGAUUUAGCGAAGUGACAAAAUUAAGUGGCAAACUUCUAUUUCUUCCACUCAUGCUCCUUGUGUGCGUAGAACACAAAACCCCUAGUUGGUCUGUCCCAUACCACCUACCCCGGUUGAAUCUCUCCCCUACCCGAUCGCAGGCCGAGUGGCGGCGGCGAUGGUGCGGGGGCGGAGCGACAUCGAUUGGUAUACCUUGUUUCUAUCCUACUACUCUAACGACAGUGCGAUCGACGCUAGCUCCGACUCCCUUGCGCCAGUGCCGCAAGCCCCCACGUCUCCAAGCAGCCGCCAAAGGUCCGAGGAGCCGUGUAGCGAGUUCGAGCGGUGCUUUUGGUGAGCGCAGCACUGGCGUGCAGGUGGAUGAUGGCGCACCCUUCCGAAUCACCCGUUUAGCGGGCAAGGCUGCUGUUGAUUUGGGACGGGAUAUGGAUGUUUCUUCUGCUUCUAAGAGCUUUUGUGAUUUCAGUCUAGUGGAUGAGGAUGUGCAAGGGGAACAUGUGAGCCAGGAACACCGUUCAAAGUCAUCUCCCAAGUUUAGUGGGUAGAAGAAGAAUUGUGGCCAGCUACCCUUGAAUAAAAGGAAAAGCCAGGGCCAUGGUGGAAAAAGGAAACCUUCCAUGAACAACGAGAGGGCUGAUGCUACUGAUCCCGAGGAGUCUCAUUAUAAAAGUUUACUUCCCAGUAGAUUCUCUAAAAGGAGGAAGCAACAGCUUCAGAAUUCAUCUUCUGUUCAUUCUCGAGAGGUUCAAGAUGUGGUUCUACUGGAUGAUGAAUAUGUGGAAUCUAAGGAAGAAGUAAACCGUGAGAUGUCUGACAUAAUGAAUGAACCUAAGAUCUACUACCCAUCAAGAGAAGAUCAAGAAGCUGUCGAGCUCACGAGAUCUGAUAUUAAAUGUCUUGAUCCUGAAGUAUUUUUAUCUUCACCGGUGAUAAACUUCUACAUCAAGCUGAUCAGUGGUGGCAACAGUGGCAAUGGGGCGGAGCCAGAGCAACAUCGACUGGUAUAGUGUCUUUCUGUCUGCCUUCUCUCAAGAUGGCGCGAUCGGCGCCUUCUCCAACUCUCCGACGCCAGCGAGCACCACAAGCUCCCGCAACACAGCCGUGCAAUGAGUUUGAAUGGCGCUUCGGUGCUUAGGUGGAUGAUGAUGGGCCAUACUUCGCCCAUGUGGCAGCCAAGGCUGAUGUUGGUUUGGACUAGAUCUUCCUUCUGCUUCUAAGGGCGUAUAUGAUUUCAUUCCAGUGGAUGAGGAUGAGCAGGGGGAACAUGUGAGCCACGAACACUGUUUGGAGUCAUCUCCCCAAGUUUAGUGGGUAGAAGAAGAAUGAUGGCUAGUUCCAGUGGAUGAGGAUGAGCAGGGGGAACAUGUGAGCCACGAACACUGUUUGGAGUCAUCUCCCCAAGUUUAGAGGGCAGAAGAAGAAUGAUGGCUAGUUCCAGUGGAUGAGGAUGAGCAGGUGGAACAUGUGAGCCACGAACACUGUUUGGAGUCAUCUCCCAAGUUUAGUUGGCAGAAGAAGAAUGAUGGCUAGGUAAAAUACACUUUUGUCAACUCUUGCUUUGAUUAUCCACAGGCAUCUCUAUAUCACUCAUGUGCUCUUGUAUCGAGCUAUGUUCUUGUAUCGAGUUGUGUUGUUCGAUUAUCUAUGUGUGUCUGUUCUUGAAGUCUGUGCCUAGGUUUUCUGUGUGCCCUUCAUGAGCUACAUCGCAUUGGUUAUUCAGAGUACCAUUUCUCAUUUGGUUUCUAGGCUGAUGUUGGUUUGGGAUUAGAUC